rnacentral:rRNA from 1 species
UACAGAGGUCCCAAGCGUUGUUCGGAUUCACUGGGCGUAAAGGGUUCGUAGGUGGUGAGGUAAGUCGGAUGUGAAAGCUCGGAGCUCAACUCCGAAAUGGCAUUGGAAACUACCUUGCUCGAGGGUUGGAGGGGGGACUGGAAUGCUUGGUGUAGCAGUGAAAUGCGUAGAUAUCAAGCGGAACACCAGUGGCGAAGGCGAGUCCCUGGACAACUCCUGACACUGAGGCACGAAAGCUAGGGGAGCAAACAGG